AAUAGAUACCCGGGUAGUCCUGGCCCUAAACGAUGAAUGCUUGGUGUAGCGGGUAUCGAUCCCUGCUGUGCCGAAGCUAACGCGAUAAGCAUUCCGCCUGGGGAGUACGGUCGCAAGGCUGAAACUCGAAAGGAAUUGACGGGGGCCCGCACAAGCGGUGGAGCAUGUGGUUCAAUUCGACGCAACGCGAAGAACCUUACCUGGGCUCGAAGUGCAGAUGACCGUCGGCGAAAGUCGACUUCCGCAAGGACAUCUGCAGAGGUGCUGCAUGGCUGUCGUCAGCUCGUGUCGUGAGAUGUUGGGUUAAGUCCCGCAACGAGCGCAACCCUUGUUCUCUGUUGCCAUCAGGUAAAGCUGGGCACUCUGAGGAGACUGCCGGUGACAAACCGGAGGAAGGUGGGGAUGACGUCAAGUCAGCAUGGCCUUUAUGUCCAGGGCUACACACGUGCUACAAUGGCCGGUACAAACCGUCGCGAUACCGCAAGGUGGAGCUAAUCGGAUAAAGCCGGU
rnacentral:rRNA from 1 species